rnacentral:misc_RNA from 1 species
UCCUGGUUUCCCAGGCAGUCCCGCCAGAGUGCGCUGUCCGAAGACAACUAGCAACUGGCAGUAAGGGUUGCGCUCGUUAGAGGACUUAACCUAACAUCUCACGACACGAGCUGACGACAGCCAUGCAGCACCUGUGCAUCUGUCUAGACCGAAGCCUAAAAGAUCAUAUCUCUAUGACUGUCAAAUGCAUGUCAAACCCAGGUAAGGUUCCUCGCGUAGUGUCGAAUUAAACCACAUGUUCCACCGCUUGUGCGGACCCCCGUCAAUUCCUUUGAGUUUUAAUCUUGCGACCGUACUCCCCAGGCGAACCACUUAACGCGUUAGCUACGACACCAAUCCAGAUAAACUGAACUGACGCCUAGUGGUUAUCGUUUACAGCGUGGACUAC